UGGGGAAUCUUCCGCAAUGGACGAAAGUCUGACGGAGCAACGCCGCGUGUAUGAUGAAGGUCUUCGGAUUGUAAAGUACUGUCAUUGGGGAAGAACGGUUUUCUUGAAAAGAUUGAGAAGACAUGACGGUACCCAAGGAGGAAGCCCCGGCUAACUACGUGCCAGUAGCCGCGGUAAUACGUAGGGGGCAAGCGUUGUCCGGAAUUAUUGGGCGUAAAGGGCGCGUAGGCGGGCCUUUAAGUCCGGUGUGAAAGAUCAGGGCUCAACCCUGAGAGUGCAUCGGAAACUGGAGGCCUUGAGGACAGGAGAGGAAAGUGGAAUUCCACGUGUAGCGGUGAAAUGCGUAGAUAUGUGGAGGAACACCAGUGGCGAAGGCGACUUUCUGGACUGUAACUGACGCUGAGGCGCGAAAGCGUGGGGAGCAAACAGGAUUAGAUACCCUGGUAGUCCACGCCGUAAACGAUGNGUGCUAGGUGUAGAGGGUAUCACCCCUUCUGUGCCGCAGUUAACANAAUAAGCACU
rnacentral:rRNA from 1 species